AGUUGAGAGCAUCACUCUGGUGACACUGAAGAUGAACUCUUCCCCAGCUUUAGUGACUGUGAUGCUGUUCAUACUUGGGAGGACUCAUGGAGACUCAGUGAUCCAGAUACAAGAUCAAGUGACCCUCUCAGAAAAUGACUUCUUAUUUAUAAACUGCACUUAUUCAACCACAGGGUACCCCAUUCUCUUCUGGUAUGUCCAAUAUUCUGGAGAAGGUCCACAGCUCCUUCUGCAAGUCACAACAGCCAACAACAGGGGAAGCAACAGAGGUUUUGAAGCUAUGUAUGAUAAAGGGACCACUUCCUUCCACUUGCAGAAAGCCUCAGUGCAUGUGUCAGAUUCAGCUGUGUACUACUGUGCUAUGAGAGACACAGUGGCAGGAACUGCAGGGGAAGCUGAGCAUAAAGUCUGAGAAGCAAAAGAAAGUCUUACUUUUGAUAAUUUUCCUUUUGAAUCAUCCUGUUUUCACACAGUCUGUGUUGUGUACCCCAGUAUUUCUCUGGUUGAUGA